UUAGUCCCCCAAUCCUCAGGUCUUUCCGUGGGUGUUAAUCACUGAGGGGCCCCUCCUCCCACUCUACCUUCCGUCCAGAGUUCUUUCUCUCUGUGUUCUUGUCACCUCUGGGAUUUGAACCUCACCUGAGUCAUUUCCUACUCUAUUUCCACCUCCGUCUUCACCAUUUCCAUCUUCUUCUCCCCCAUCUCCACCUCCACCUCUCAGACCAGAGUUUUAGGCUCAGCCACCUUCCCAUCUCUCCUGAUUUUCCUCAAAAUCUAUUUUAGAAUUCUGGCUUUUCUUCAGAUCUUCUAGUAACUGACUUCUGCUAAGCUCUUGCAAUCCAAGACAUCUUUAACCUGAGCCACUCCAGAGCCAAAAAGACUGAGGAGAGACUAUACCUCUUUCCUAGAUCUUACCAGAAUCUCAAAUUUUAUCUUACCCCAGAGAGAAUGGCAAAGACCAACAAAACAGCUGACAACAAAUGCUAAAAGAAGGUGGGGAAAGGGAGCCUUUAUUCACUGUUAGUGGGAUUGCAAAUUGGUCCCACCACUCUGGAAAUCAGUGCAGAGAAUUCUAAAAAAAAUAAGCUAAAAAUAAAUCUACCAUAUGACCCAGCUAGAUCACCCCUUGGCAUAUGCCCAAAGGACUGGAACUCUACUUCACAGAAACAUGCUCAGACGUAUCACUGCUCUAUUCACAACAGCUAAGAUAUUGAAACAACUUAAAUGUUCUUCGACCAACAAAUGGAUAAUAAAAAUGUGAUACUUAUGACACUAUGGAAUAUUCUUCAGCUGUAAAGAAAAAUAAAAUCACGAAGUUUUCAGAUAAAUGGAAUGAACUGGGAGAUAAAAUCAUAUUGAGUGCAGUAACUAAAACCCAGAAAGGCAAACAUAAAAUGUACUUUCUCACUGGCACCUCCUAGCUCCAAUGCUCAGAUGUGAGAACAAAUCCUGAAGUAAUUGCAGAAAUCAGGAAAGGAAAAAGAGACCAAGCUGGCGUGGAUGUUUAAGUUGGAAGCUCCACUCCAGCCUCACCCUCCCCCAUUACAAAACACACCCCCUCUCAGAAAGUCCCCCAAGGGGUGACUCCUCCCGGGGAGCUAUUCAAGACUGCAUCUAUGGGCUAUUUAAACUGCCUCCUAGAGAAUGGUUUUUUUGUUUUGUUUUUGUUUGUUUGUUUGUUUGUUUGUUUUGUUUUGUUUUGUUUUUCCAGUCUCCUCUCCUGUUCUCAUCUGUCAGGGCCGGGAAAAUCACCUGGGAAUGUUUUGCCCAAUAAACUUGGACUUUUAUUCUUAA